AGUGCAUAAUAGGUCUCAGGAGCAUCUGGACUGCAGAGAUUCUAUUGACAAAGGAAAAGGGAGCCCUUGGGGAAUAGUAAACUGAUUUUACCGGCCAUCAUAGGACAGAUGAUUGAAAGAACAGUAAAAGGUGAAUCCCACCUAGAUUGAGUCAUGCUACAAGUGGAAUGUGGACUCUUCAGUUCUUGGGAAUUCUGAAGAAUAAUGUGUUACAUGAUGCCGCAAGAAAGGAUUGAGAGAAUCUUCUGGGCUUAAGAAUAAUGGGGGAAAACCCAAACCAGAAAUGCCAUCAGCCUGUGGACUGUGGUUGAGUUUUGAUAGCUCAACCUGCACAAACCCUUUGGCAAGAAGGAGUAUGUGAGUCAGUGGAUAUCUCAGCUCUACAAAAAGCAGCAAUGUUUAAUAAAGUGAUUUGUGCCAGUGGAUGUUGUGUGGGUUUCAAAAGAUGUGAAGAACAGAUUCAAGACG